CUAAUGCCACUACAUGCCUUCUUCUGAGUGAUGGAGUGGUGGUGGAAUGGCAGAUUGACUCCCUGCCCAGCCCCAUUGAGACCACAGGGAGAUGGGGGUAGCUGUGGUUUUUCCUUUUGGUGUUUGGCUGGAGUAAGGCAAGUAUUACCAAAAAGAUUUUCUAUUGUUAGGUCACCCUUUCCCCUGUCCUUUGGCUGGGAGGCACAGACUUUCCUUGGAGCUUUUUUCAUCUAUGCUUGUUGGUGAUUCCGGGUUGGAGGCUUCUGCAGCACCAUGUCCAGUGCAUCAGGAAUGCAACAAGGAAACCCACUGUGAUGGUUAAUUUUAUGUGUCAACUUGACUGGACUAAGGUGCCCAGAUAGCUGGUAAACAUUGUUUAUGAAUGUGUUUGUGAGAGUGUUUCCGGAAGACAUUAACAUUUGAAUCAGUAAACUGAGUAAAGUAGAUUGCCUUACCAAUAUGUGGGCCAUCAUCUGAUCCACUGAGGGCCUGAAUAGAACAAAAAGGAGGAGGAAGGGCAAAUUUGCUCUCUGCUUGACCUGGAACAUCUAUCUCCUCCUGCCCUCACUCAUCGGUGCUCCUAGUUCUCAGGCCUUCAGACUGACACUAGAACUUAACCCAUUGGCCCCCCUGGUUCUCAGGCCUUUGAGUUGGGACUGGAACUGCACCACUGGACUUUCCGGGCUGCUAGCUUGCAGAUGGCCUCAGGUGGGGUCUUGAGCCUACUGGCAUUUGAACUGGAACUACACCGUUGUCUCUCUUGGUUCUCAGGCCUUUGGACUUGGAUUGGAACAUCAUCAGCUCUCCUGGGUCUCCAGCCUGCCAUCUGCAGAUCUUGGGACUUGUCAACCUCCGUAAUCAUGAUACCGGCUCAACACGAGAACUAUUGGAAAGAUACAGACUUCUAUCUGGGCUGUCCCCAGCAACCACAAGGAUCUGAGAAGCGGCACCUCUGUCUGGGGAGAGGACAUUCCUGCAGACUUUUCCUCCUCCUUCGGGAGAGUGAUGAAAACAGAGAAAGAGCACACUUGGUUCUGUGAUGAGCCGACAGCCACUGCUUGGUGACACUGUUUUGUGAACAUCCUCAUCUUUGCCAGGUCCCCUGGUGUGCCCUCGUUCUUUAUCUCCACUUUGCACCCUCAGGUGUCCUAAUGGAAAAAGCAAAUCACCUGCAAGGGGGAAUCCGACUGGUCCCUGCUGCUCCCCGACUUCCCCAAUAUCUAAUGCCAGAAGACAGUGGAACAAUGUCCACAAAAUUCUGAGGGGAAGAAAUUUUGACCCAAGAAAAUUACAGUCAACGAAGAGGGUUCUUCAACCAAAGACUUCUGGAGUUCAGAAAAGUCGUGUGCACCUGCAUGCAACCACAUGUUUGCCAUGAGAGCCCAACACUUUCCUGCUGCUCUGUCUUCAUAGAAAGCUCUCUAUUGAGUGAAACCCUACUCUUCCUUCAAGGCCUGGGUCCAAUGUCACCUCCACCGUGAAGCCUUCAUAGAUCUACUCAAAUGGAAACUUUUGCUGACUCCUCCAUACUCUCUUAGCACCUUAGUUGUGUUAUUGGUUUAGCACAACACAGACCCUACCUAGAAUGUCACCAAAGUCUAUGCUAAGCAAAACUGGAUUAAUUUGCUUAAAAAGUGCUCACUUUUGCAUCUAUGUUAGUCUCUCUGUGCUCAUGGGAAAAGUAGAGCAAUAUCACUUCAAAACAUGAUGGAAAAGAAAAUUAAAUUCUCAGCCCCGGGUCCUAUGAAAUUGUGAACUGUCACCUUUACCAUCCCAGCAAGGCUCCUGGUGUUUAGGAAACCGGAGCACAGCUGAAGUGAUGAUUUUGACCCUCAUCCCUGUGACAGACUGCAAGUGUCAGUUUAUUCCUGCAUUUUCUGUGGAGCUUUGCCUUCCUUGUGACAUGAUGCUUCAGUUUAUGCCUAGAACCCCUUCCUGCCAAAUGAUGUCUGCCAGGGGAUACGUGAUGCUGCACAAAAUGGAACAAUUACAGAAAUAGGUCAUAUAAGAUUUCGGGACCUUGUUGACGUGGAGAAGUCACUAAAUUGGAGACACCAUGAAAUCCCAGGGUCCCAUAAUAUUGAUGGAACUGGGGUUUUGCUUUGUACAAUAUUUUAUGGUGGGUGGGGAAUGACUGUCUACCUGAACCCACUUUUAAAUAUCUAUAGGAAUAGAUACAUGUACUGUCUCCUAAUAGUAAAUAAAGAGAAGGAAGAUGUGCCAUA